CCUACGGGGGGCAGCAGUCGAGAAUCAUUCACAAUGGGGGAAACCCUGAUGGUGCGACGCCGCGUGGGGGAAUGAAGGUCUUCGGAUUGUAAACCCCUGUCAUGUGGGAGCAAAUUAAAAAGAUAGUACCACAAGAGGAAGAGACGGCUAACUCUGUGCCAGCAGCCUCGGUAAUACAGAGGUCGCAAGCGUUGUUCGGAAUCACUGGGCGUAAAGGGUGCGUAGGCUGUUUCGUAAGUCGUGUGUGAAAGGCGCGGGCUCAACCCGCGGACGGCACAUGAUACUGCGAGACUAGAGUAAUGGAGAGGGAGCCGGAAUUCUCGGUGUAGCAGUGAAAUGCGUAGAUAUCGAGAGGAACACUCGUGGCGAAGGCGGGUUCCUGGACAUUAACUGACGCUGAGGCACGAAGGCCAGGGGAGCGAAAGGGAUUAGAUACCCCGGUAGUC
rnacentral:rRNA from 1 species